rnacentral:rRNA from 1 species
AUUGAACGCUGGCGGCAUGCCUUACACAUGCAAGUCGAACGGCAGCACGGGUGCUUGCACCUGGUGGCGAGUGGCGAACGGGUGAGUAAUACACCGGAACAUGUCCUGUAGUGGGGGAUAGCCCGGCGAAAGCCGGAUUAAUACCGCAUACGAUCUACGGAUGAAAGCGGGGGACCUUCGGGCCUCGCGCUAUAGGGUUGGCCGAUGGCUGAUUAGCUAGUUGGUGGGGUAAAGGCCUACCAAGGCGACGAUCAGUAGCUGGUCUGAGAGGACGACCAGCCACACUGGGACUGAGACACGGCCCAGACUCCUACGGGAGGCAGCAGUGGGGAAUUUUGGACAAUGGGCGAAAGCCUGAUCCAGCAAUGCCGCGUGUGUGAAGAAGGCCUUCGGGUUGUAAAGCACUUUUGUCCGGAAAGAAAUCCUUGGCUCUAAUACAGUCGGGGGAUGACGGUACCGGAAGAAUAAGCACCGGCUAACUACGUG